ACUCCUACGGGAGGCAGCAGUGGGGAAUAUUGCACAAUGGGCGCAAGCCUGAUGCAGCCAUGCCGCGUGUGUGAAGAAGGCCUUCGGGUUGUAAAGCACUUUCAGUUGUGAGGAAAGGUUAGUCGCUAAUAUCGGCUAGCUGUGACGUUAGCAACAGAAGAAGCACCGGCUAACUCCGUGCCAGCAGCCGCGGUAAUACGGAGGGUGCGAGCGUUAAUCGGAAUUACUGGGCGUAAAGCGCGUGUAGGUGGCUUGUUAAGCCAGAUGUGAAAGCCCCGGGCUCAACCUGGGAACUGCAUUUGGAACUGGCAGGCUAGAGUCUUGUAGAGGGGGGUAGAAUUUCAGGGUGUAGCGGUGAAAUGCGUAGAGAUCUGAAGGAAUACCAGUGGCGAAGGCGGCCCCCUGGAGCAAAGCCUGACAGCUCAGAUGCGAAAGCGUGGGGAGCAAACAGGAUUAGAUGA
rnacentral:rRNA from 1 species